UCAGCCUAAUCUUUCUCUGAUUGGUUUAUAGGGUGGUCCUAGGGCCGCCCACUUUGCAUAAACAAAUAUGAGCAUGCUUAUUAGCUCCUGCCUUAUUAAUAUUAAUCUUUUAAAAGAACUGGGCUUUUCAUUUCUACUAUUGCCCACCUCACAACCCUUAAAGCAGCAGCAGGCAAGAACAGCAGGGAACAACAGAGGGAAGCAGUAGACACACAAAAUGGAGACAGAGACAACAUGGCUGAGAAAUUUUAGGAGGACCCUGAAGACGUGCCUAUUUUCCCAGGCCCUCAACUGAGACCAAAUUUUUAAAUGUUAAUGUGUUUUUAUCUAUUAUGAUUUUUAUCUUUUUAUGAAUUUUAAAUGUUUUAUAUUUUAUAUUAUGUUUUAAUUCUGUACACUGCCUAGAAAUUUCUAUAUUAGGCAGUAAGUAAAUAAAUAAAUAAAUAAAUACUGUCUCCCUUGAGCAAA